rnacentral:rRNA from 1 species
CAAGGGCUGGUGCUACACAUGCAAGUCGAACGCUGAAGCCCUCAGCUUGCUGGGGGUGGAUGAGUGGCGAACGGGUGAGUAACACGUGAGUAACCUGCCCCUGAUUUCGGGAUAAGCCCGGGAAACUGGGUCUAAUACCGGAUAUGACCACUGGCCGCAUGGUUGGUGGUGGAAAGUUUUUUCGAUUGGGGAUGGGCUCGCGGCCUAUCAGUUUGUUGGUGGGGUAAUGGCCUACCAAGGCGACGACGGGUAGCCGGCCUGAGAGGGCGACCGGCCACACUGGGACUGAGACACGGCCCAGACUCCUACGGGAGGCAGCAGUGGGGAAUAUUGCACAAUGGGGGAAACCCUGAUGCAGCGACGCACCGUGCGGGAUGACGGCCUUCGGGUUGUAAACCGCUUUCAGCAGGGAAGAAGCCGUAAGGUGACGGUACCUGCAGAAGAAGUACCGGCUAACUACGUGCCAGCAGCCGCGGUAAUACGUAGGGUACGAGCGUUGUCCGGAAUUAUUGGGCGUAAAGAGCUCGUAGGUGGUUGGUCACGUCUGCUGUGGAAACGCAACGCUUAACGUUGCGCGGGCAGUGGGUACGGGCUGACUAGAGUGCAGUAGGGGAGUCUGGAAUUCCUGGUGUAGCGGUGAAAUGCGCACAUAUCAGGAGGAACACCGGUGGCGAAGGCGGGACUCUGGGCUGUGACUGACACUGAGGAGCGAAAGCAUGGGGAGCGAACAGGAUUAGAUACCCUGGUAGUCCAUGCCGUAAACGUUGGGCACUAUGUGUGGGGGACAUUCUACGUGUUCU